rnacentral:rRNA from 1 species
GAGUUUGAUCCUGGCUCAGGAUGAACGCUAGCGGCAGGCUUAACACAUGCAAGUCGAGGGGUAUAGUUCUUCGGAAUUAGAGACCGGCGCACGGGUGCGUAACGCGUAUGCAAUCUACCUUUCACAGAGGGAUAGCCCAGAGAAAUUUGGAUUAAUACCUCAUAGUAUUAUGAAAUGGCAUCAUUUUAUAAUUAAAGUCACAACGGUGAAAGAUGAGCAUGCGUCCCAUUAGCUAGUUGGUAAGGUAACGGCUUACCAAGGCUACGAUGGGUAGGGGUCCUGAGAGGGAGAUCCCUCACACUGGUACUGAGACACGGACCAGACUCCUACGGGAGGCAGCAGUGAGGAAUAUUGGUCAAUGGGCGCAAGCCUGAACCAGCCAUGCCGCGUGCAGGAUGACGGUCCUAUGGAUUGUAAACUGCUUUUGCACAGGAAGAAACAACAUUACGUGUAAUGUCUUGACGGUACUGUGAGAAUAAGGAUCGGCUAACUCCGUGCCAGCAGCCGCGGUAAUACGGAGGAUCCAAGCAUUAUCCGGAAUCAUUGGGUUUAAAGGGUCCGUAGGCGGUUUAGUAAGUCAGUGGUGAAAGCCCAUCGCUCAACGGUGGAACGGCCAUUGAUACUGCUAGACUUGAAUUAUUAGGAAGUAACUA